rnacentral:misc_RNA from 1 species
GCAACACUAAGGCUCAGCCUUGCGUUGGCAGACUACAGUUGGUAGCUGCCCAAACUUAGACGGCGUCGCCCCGUGGCCGACGAUGCGCAAAUGCAAGUGUCCAAACGGAGGUGGCAGCCUGUAUCAAUUUCAA